rnacentral:rRNA from 1 species
AGCGAACGCUGGCGGCAGGCCUAACACAUGCAAGUCGAACGAACUCUUCGGAGUUAGUGGCGGACGGGUGAGUAACACGUGGGAACGUGCCUUUUGGUUCGGAAUAACUCAGGGAAACUUGUGCUAAUACCGAAUGUGCCCUUCGGGGGAAAGAUUUAUCGCCAUUAGAGCGGCCCGCGUCUGAUUAGCUAGUUGGUGAGGUAACGGCUCACCAAGGCGACGAUCAGUAGCUGGUCUGAGAGGAUGACCAGCCACACUGGGACUGAGACACGGCCCAGAAUCCUAAGGGAGGCAGGAGGGGGGAAACUUGCGCAAUGGGCGAAAGACUGACGCAGCCAAGCCGCGUGAAUGAUGAAGGUCUUAGGAUUGUAAAAUUCUUUCACCGGGGACGAUAAUGACGGUACCCGGAGAAGAAGCCCCGGCUAACUUCGUG